ACUCCUACGGGAGGCAGCAGUGGGGAAUAUUGCACAAUGGGCGCAAGCCUGAUGCAGCCAUGCCGCGUGUAUGAAGAAGGCCUUCGGUUGUAAAGUACUUUCAGCAGUGAGGAAGGUUCAUACGUUAAUAGCGUAUGGAUUUGACGUUAGCUGCAGAAGAAGCACCGGCUAACUCCGUGCCAGCAGCCGCGGUAAUACGGAGGGGUGCGAGCGUUAAUCGGAAUUACUGGGCGUAAAGCGCAUGCAGGUGGUUUGUUAAGUCAGAUGUGAAAGCCCGGGGCUCAACCUCGGAAUAGCAUUUGAAACUGGCAGACUAGAGUACUGUAGAGGGGGUAGAAUUUCAGGUGUAGCGGUGAAAUGCGUAGAGAUCUGAAGGAAUACCGGUGGCGAAGGCGGCCCCCUGGACAGAUACUGACACUCAGAUGCGAAAGCGUGGGGAGCAAACAGGAUUAGAUACCCUGGUAGACUGUCA
rnacentral:rRNA from 1 species